UACGUAGGCAGCAAGCGUUGUUCGGAGUUACUGGGCGUAAAGAGUGCGUAGGCGGUUUUCCAAGUUUGGUGUGAAAUCUCCCGGCUUAACUGGGAGGGUGCGCCGAAAACUGGAAGGCUAGAGUAUGGGAGAGGUAAGCGGAAUUCCUGGUGUAGCGGUGAAAUGCGUAGAUAUCAGGAGGAACACCUGCGGUGUAGACGGCUUACUGGACCAUAACUGACGCUGAGGCACGAAAGCGUGGGUAGCAAACAGG
rnacentral:rRNA from 1 species